rnacentral:lncRNA from 1 species
UGCAUGAAAAGUUAAAUUCCAAGUUAAGAAACUAAAGAUGGAGAGAAAAUAUUCAUAAGAUUGAAAGAUUGAAAAAAAAAAAGAAAACAAGAAACAGAAUACAAGUUAAAUGUAUCAAAGGUAAAAAUCAUAAAAUUUUGGUUGAGAACGAGAUCAAAAAAGGAAAAAAUCAUCAUUUUGAUAAGCUAUUCAAUGAAAGUUAUAUAAACAAUUUAAGUUGAGUUGUUAGUUCCAAGAAUAGAGAUGUUAUGUGUGUGUGUGUGUGUGUGCAUGUGUGUAUGUAUGCAUAUGUGUGUGCGAACGUUAGCGCGUGCGUGCAUAAAAUAAAAGUAUCUAAGUUAAAGAAUGCUAUGAAACAGAUGAAAAUAGGAAAAGCAAUUAGACAUAAUAGAAUUCGUAUUAAGAUUUGCAAGUGCUUAGGUG